GCUACCUGUCACCGCAGCGCCGACCGCACACAGGACCAGCCCGUGGUCGGUCCGUACGCCCAUAUCCGGAAAACUAAAAUCAGCAACCGAUGGAGGUGCGGUUGCUUGAUGAAAUGUCA
rnacentral:lncRNA from 1 species